AUUGAACGCUGGCGGCAUGCUUUACACAUGCAAGUCGAACGGUAACAGGCCGCAAGGUGCUGACGAGUGGCGAACGGGUGAGUAAUGCAUCGGAACGUGCCCAGUCGUGGGGGGAUAACGCAGCGAAAGCUGCGCUAAUACCGCAUACGAUCUCUGGAUGAAAGCGGGGGACCGAAAGGCCUCGCGCGAUUGGAGCGGCCGAUGUCAGAUUAGGUAGUUGGUGGGGUAAAGGCCCACCAAGCCAACGAUCUGUAGCUGGUCUGAGAGGAAGACCAGCCACACUGGGACUGAGACACGGCCCAGACUCCUACGGGAGGCAGCAGUGGGGAAUUUUGGACAAUGGGCGCAAGCCUGAUCCAGCAAUGCCGCGUGCAGGAAGAAGGCCUUCGGGUUGUAAACUGCUUUUGUACGGAACGAAACGGUCCGGGUUAAUACCCUGGGCUAAUGACGGUACCGUAAGAAUAAGCACCGGCUAACUACGUGCCAGCAGCCGCAGUAAAAC
rnacentral:rRNA from 1 species